rnacentral:rRNA from 1 species
GUCUAUGGACAUAGCACCCUGAAUGCUCCAGAUCUCAUCUGAUCUGGGAAGCUAAGCAGGGUUGGGCCUGGUUAGUACCUGGAUGGGAGAAAAGCAAAGAAGAUGUCCUGCUAGGCA